rnacentral:rRNA from 1 species
GAUGAACGCUAGCGGGAGGCUUAAUACAUGCAAGUCGAACGGUAAGAUCCAGCUUGCUGGAUACACGAGUGGCGAACGGGUGAGUAACGCGUACACGACCUACCUUUAAGUGGAGAAUAGCCCUGGGAAACUGGGAUUAAUACUCCAUAAUAUUGUAUUUAUAAAUAGGUACAAUUAAAGCUCCGGCGCUUAAAGAUGGGUGUGCGUCUGAUUAGCUAGUUGGUACGGUAAAGGCGUACCAAGGCUACGAUCAGUAGGGGGCGUGAGAGCGUGAACCCCCACACGGGUACUGAGACACGGACCCGACUCCUACGGGAGGCAGCAGUAAGGAAUAUUGGACAAUGGGCGAAAGCCUGAUCCAGCCAUCCCGCGUGCAGGAUGAAGGCCCUCUGGGUUGUAAACUGCUUUUAUAUACCAAGAAUAGCAGUCAUUUAUGAUUGUGUGACGGUAGUAUAUGAAUAAGCACCGGCUAACUCCG